ACUUUUUGGGUAACAGCCACUAGAUGGCGCUCCGGUAGCGCGGCCGCCAUUAUGGGGUGAAAAUACUAACUGGACCAUAGAAUCCUUCACAUCUUACGCACCCAAAAUCAGCGAAUUUCACUGCCAAAUCAGAAGCGCAAUAGAACAGUUUUUUAAAAUUAAGUCACCAGUAAAUUGUAUGGCUCCUACAGUAAAUGUUGUAUUGUCUUAUAUAUGUUUUAUUUUACCAGUUGUGGAAUCCAACCAUUCAACCAUAUGAGGUAACGUAGUUAGCCUACUUUAUUGAGUAUUUCCAUUUUAUGCAACUUUACACAUUUAUUAAUAGUAAAUUAAUAAUUAAUAAAUUUAAGAUCAUCAUGUUUGCAGCGAACAAUAUAUUUUAGACCUAGUAGAGUAAUAGUAAUAAUAUCUAGGUCUGAAUUAAAAUAGGCUAUAUUGUACGUUUUAAUGGAUCACGCUACAAACAUAAUGAUCUUAUAAUACAUGAUGCAUUGCUGUGUCCGUUAUCCCAUAAUUCACACUUUUGGACACUUUUGCUUCUGAUUUUGUCUUUGGCAAAGGGCCGACGCAGUCCAAAAUAACAUGCUCGAAAGGCUCACCGAUUACAGGAAUGGGAACCAAUGGAGCAGGUGGAAUCUUUUGAUUUGGCUUUCCCGUUACCUGACAUACAUGACAGAUGACCUGACAGAUAAUGAUCAUGAGCCAAAUUUAACACUUGCUGUCUGUAAGCAGUGGGCAACACAAUUUGACAGAUUUUGGAUGUUCAGCAGCAGAGAAGCACUUUGCCAAAGAAGGAUCGUCUCGCUGUGUUGCGAUCAUCCGUUCGCGCGUAACAGAUACCGUCAACAACUCCGAAUCUUUCACGACGUUAUCAAGCUGUUUAUCAUUUUUCACAACUUCAAAGCAUUGGACCUCAGGCAGAGAGCUUUCCUCAGUAAAAAGCGGCAACAUGAAUGAGUCAUUUAGUGAAAUGUCACUCCCUAUCCUACACUUUUGCGCACGAGUUACAACAUUAGCUGCAAACACAUCUGGAAAUUUAUCAGCAAUAUCGUCAGCACCAACGAAACAAUCAGGUUUGUCAACAACCUCCACUACUGGUGUUACGUUACCUCCUGCCAAAUCAUUACCAAGGAUAAAAGCAAUACCUUUCACGGGGAGUGAGGACCGUACCCCAACCUUAACAAACCCUGUGAGCAAAUCGCAUUGGAGAUGUACACGGUGUAGCGGCACUUUAACCACGCCCAUUUCUAUACCCUGAAUGAGUACACUCGAACCGCAAGACGUCUGAUCUGAUAGUGGAACAACAUCAGCCACUACAAAUGACUGAAUUGCGCCAGUGUCUCGCAAAAUCUGAAUUUCUUUUUGUUCCUCAGGUCUACCAUUUAUUGAAAGUAAACCUUUCAUCAUAAACGGUUUAAAUCUUUCAUCAAUAUCAUCAGUCUUUUGCGCGUCAUAAGAGCGCACAGGCACUGUUCUCACAAAACCAACUGGCUUCGGUUGUCCUGGCUGUUGUUUUCUUUUUAAAGUUAAACAAUCAGCAAUUACGUGUCCUGUUUUAUGACAAUAAAAACAUUCUCUUGUCUCUUUAGGUUGCGGUGGACUAACCUUAACAAGGGGAUUCUGCGACACCGGCAGAGCCAACGUUUUGUUGGGACGAGCUGAGAUGAAUACACUUUUAUGUGUUAAAACAACUUCAUCGGCCAGAACAGCAGCCUGAGACAAAGACGUGACUUUUUGUUCGUUUAAAUACAUGACCACUCGCUCAGGCAAGCAACCCUUAAAGUCUUCCAAAAGCAUCAAAUCCUUUAGAGAAUCAAAAUCUUGCACCUUACUUGCCAUCAACCAUUUAUCGAAAAGAAUUCCCUUUUCACGGGCAAAUUCUACAAACGUUUGUUGCGCUAUUUUUUAUGAUUUCUAAAUCGCUGUCGAUAAGCUUCGGGAACCAGCUCAUACGCGCGGAGAAUAGCAUUCUUUACUGACUCGUACUGCAAACUAUCCUCUACAGGUAGCGCUGAACAAACCUCUUGAGCCUUCCCAACAAGCUUAUACUGCAAUAAAAGAGGCCAUACCUCUUUCGGCCAACGAAGUGCGGAUGCUAUAUGCUCAA